rnacentral:rRNA from 1 species
GGAGAGCUAAUACAGCAUAAGACCACGACCUCGCUGAGGUUGCGGCCAAAGCAGACCUCUUCACGAAAGUUUGCGCUAAGGGAUGAGCCUGCGGCCCAUCAGCUAGUUGGUAGGGUAAUGGCCUACCAAGGCUAAGACGGGUAGCUGGUCUGAGAGGAUGAACAGCCACACUGGAACUGAGACACGGUCCAGACUCCUACGGGAGGCAGCAGUGGGGAAUCUUGCGCAAUGCGCGAAAGCGUGACGCAGCAACGCCGCGUGGGGGAAGACGGCCUUCGGGUUGUAAACCCCUUUCAGGAGGGACGAAGGUUCACCGGUGAAUAGCCGUGUGGAUUGACGGUACCUCCACAAGAAGCUCCGGCUAACUACGUGCCAGCAGCCGCGGUAAUACGUAGGGAGCAAGCGUUGUCCGGAAUCAUUGGGCGUAAAGCGCGCGUAGUGGCUUCGUAAGUCCGUUGUGAAAGUCAAAGGCUCAACCUUUGAAAGCCGAUGGAUACUGCGG